CGAUGCCGAUGUCGUGGUGCCGAAUAAUGGCGACGCGAAAGAGAAAUCGAGUAGGGCCCUGGGGAGAGUACACGCGCAAGCGAGAAAUUUAAAGGAAAUUGACGGAAGAACACCACAAGGAGUGGAGUGUGCGGCUUAAUUUGACUCAACGCGGGACAACUUACCGGGCCCGACGACCGUAUGAGUGUAACACACGAUAGGUCGAAGAGUGGUGCAUGGCCGUUAACGACGAGUGGAGUGAUCUUUGGGUUAAGUCCGUAAAUUAGUGAGACCUCAGCCGUAAGGGACAGGUGCGCAAAGCACAGGAAGGAUGGGUCAAGGACAGGUCAGUGAUGCCCUUAGAUGGUCCGGGCUGCACGCGCACUACAGUGGUCGCCGAAAUUACCUGAUAAUUUUAAAGGCGAUCGAGAGGGAAUGAGCUUUGUAAGAGGCUCAGGAACGAGGAAUUGCUAGUAAUCGCGGACUCAUUAAGACGCGAUGAAUACGUCCCUGUUCUUUGUACACACCGCCCGUCGUUAUCGAAGAUGAAGAUAGGCGCGAACGAUCUACCAGAAAGUGAGCGCAGGUCUUUAGAUCUGAUACAAGUCGUAACAAGGUAGCUGUAGGAGAACCUGUAGCUGG
rnacentral:rRNA from 1 species